rnacentral:rRNA from 1 species
AGAGUUUGAUCCUGGCUCAGGACGAACGCUGGCGGCGUGCCUAACACAUGCAAGUCGAACGGCCCGCCCCGUUGGAUCCCUUCGGGGAGAAGAUGGGUUCCCGGGCAGUGGCGGACGGGUGAGUAACGCGUGGAGAACCUGUCUCUCAGUUGGGGAUAACCUGGCGAAAGUCGGGCUAAUCCCGAAUACGCUCUCAAGGUGGCAUCACUUUGGGAGGAAAGGUGCUUUCGGGCAUCGCUGAGAGGUGGCUCCGCGUCGGAUUAGCUAGCUGGUGGGGUAACGGCUCACCAGGGCGACGAUCCGUAGCUGGUCUGAGAGGAUGAUCAGCCACACUGGGACUGAGACACGGCCCAGACUCCUACGGGAGGCAGCAGUGGGGAAUCUUCCGCAAUGGGCGAAAGCCUGACGGAGCAACGCCGCGUGAACGAAGAAGGCCUUCGGGUCGUAAAGUUCUGUCCUCAGGGAAGAACCCUCAUGGGAGGAAAUGCCCAUGAGCUGACGGUACCUGGGAAGGAAGCCCUGGCUAACUACGUGCCAGCAGCCGCGGUAAUACGUAGAGGGCAAGCGUUGUCCGGAAUUACUGGGCGUAAAGGGUACGCAGGCGGAUAUAUAAGUCAAAUGUGAAAGGCACCGGCUCAACCGGUGAGCGGCAUUUGAAACUGUAUAUCUUGAGUUCAGGAGAGGAGAGCGGAAUUCCUGGUGUAGCGGUGGAAUGCGUAGAUAUCAGGAAGAACACCAGUGGCGAAGGCGGCUCUCUGGCCUGAAACUGACGCUCAGGUACGAAAGCUGGGGGAGCGAACGGGAUUAGAUACCCCGGUAGUCCCAGCCGUAAACGAUGGACACUAGUGUUGGGGGUUCGAAUCCUCAGUGCCGAAGCAAACGCAUUAAGUGUCCCGCCUGGGGAGUACGGUCGCAAGACUGAAACUCAAGGAAUUGACGG